CUUUCGUAAGCAAUGACGCCAGCCACUUAGUCCAUUGCAAAAUAACUGAUGGUCCUGGAUAUUUAAUCAUGUUAAUGCAGUCUGUUUCUUAACUAAAGAAAAAUGGGUGCCCUUUAAAGUUUUUUUUUUUUUUUAAAGAUUAGGAAACAGGAAGUCAGAAGAAGCAAAAUUAGACCUCCUAAGGUAGAUGCCUAAUGAUUUACCAUCAAAAUUCAAAAUUUUCCUUGUUUUAUGAGAGGAAUGAGCAGGAGCAUUGUCUUAGUGGAGAAGCAAUCUCUGGUGAAGCUUACCUGGGCAUUUUUCUGCUAAAACUUUGGCUGUCUCUAAACAUUCUCAUAUUUUUUUUUUCUUUUUGUAGAGAUAGGUCUUGCUAUGUUGCCCAGACUGGUCUUGAACUCCUGGCCUCAAUGGAUCCUCCUGCCUUGGCCACCAAAAGUGCUGAGACUACAGGCAUAAGCCACUGUACCCAGCCUCAUAACACCUUUAUAAUAAGCAGACGUUAUUGUUCUUUGGCUCUCCAGAAAGUCAACAAGAAAAAUGCUUUGAGCAUCCCAAAAAAUAGUUGCCAUGACCUUGCUUUUGACUAGUCCACUUUUAUUUUGACUGGACCACUUCCACCUCUUGGUAGCUAUUGCUCUGUUUGUGCUUUGUUUUCGGGAUUAUUCUGGUAAAGCCAUGUUUCAUCUCCUGUUACAAUUCUUGGAAGAAAUCCUUCAGGAUCUUGAUCCCACUUGUUUAAAAUUUUUAUUGAAAGACAACUGAAAUUUUAAGUAGAAAACCCACCAGGAGAACAAAAGUACUCUUGUCUGUAGCUGAUCUGGGUGCAAUAGUUUCGGUACCCAUCAAGUGGAAAGUUUGCUCAAGUUUAAUUUUUCUGUCAGCAUUGUGUAAGCUGAACCAACUGAGACAUCUAUGAUGUUGGAUAUUGUAUUAGUCCAUUCUCACACUGCUAUAAAGAACUACAUGAGGUCGGGCGUGGUGGCUCACACCUGUAAUCCCAGCACUUUGGGAGGCCAAGACAGGUGGAUCACCUGAGAUCAGGAGUUCGAGACAAACCUGGCCAACAUGGUGAAACCCCAUAUCUACUAAAAAUACAAAAAUUUGCUGGGCAUGAUGACAAACACCUGUAAUCCCUGCUACUCACAAGGCUGAGGCAGGAGAAUCACUUGAACCUGGGAGGCGGAGCUUGCAGUGAACCGAGAGAGCACCACUGCAUUCCAGUCUGGGUGACAAGAGUGAAACUCUGUCCUCCCAAAAAAGAAUUACCUGAGAGUGCGUACUGUAUAAAGAAAAGAAGCUUGACUCAGUUCCACAGGCUCUACAGGAAGCAUGGCUGGGAGGCUCAGGAAACUUAAAAUCAUGGGAGAAGGGGAAGAAAGCACAUCUUCACAUGGCCAGCAGGAGACAGCAAGUGAAGAGGGAGGUGCUACACACUUUCAAACAACCAGAUCUUGUGAGAACUCUAUCAUGGGACAGCACUAGGGCGAUGGUGCUAAACCAUCAGAAGCCAUGCACAUGAUCCAAUCAUCUCCCUCCAUGUCCCUCCUCCAACACUUCCUGUCAUUACACUUCUGCAUGAGAUUUGGGUGGGGACACACAGCCAAACCUCACCAUAAAUUUGAUGUGUGUUCUUCCUUCAAUUUUAGCAGAAUUUAUGUUUCUCUGAUAAAAGAGCUCUUUUCUAAAUGUCUUAUCAUAGUUAGUGUCCCUCACUAGAUCCUGUUCAGACAUGUUACAAAAAGUUUAUUCUGGUGCAAAAAAAAAAUUGAAAUUCAUACACACUUUUUUAUAAUACAUAUUUUCCAUGAAAAUUUAGAAGAACACUUAUAUAGAUGAAUGAUAGAUUAUCAAAGUUUUCCUAGAUUUGUCAGGCUUUGUUCUUCACGGUUUUCAAAUGAAAGGGCCUGGAGAAACCGAAGAACUAAAAGGGUUGCAGAAAGAGUCCUAAGGGGAAAGAAAAACUGAUAUACUCACAUCUUCGACCUAGGCAACAAAAGUUAUGAGUCAAGAUAUUUGGUCACAUAACUAAAGAUAACUUAGGUUUUAUGACAUUUUUGUUUUUUGUUUUGUUUUUGUCAGUUAAAAUAGGGAAAUUUUAACUGAAAUAUCAAUGAACAGUCCCAUUCCCUAUCCUC
rnacentral:lncRNA from 1 species